CCUAAUGUUUUAAUAUUUCGAUUAACGAAAAAUUAACCGAACUUGUAUUUGUAGCUCAUUUCGGUGGAACGAAUUCAAAGUUGGCAAAUUAAAUCUUCGAAUCCUUGUUAAGUACAAAUCAGUGGUAAACUCUUUUAGUCUGUAAGGUGUUAAAAACAACAGCAAGUGAGUAUGCAUUGCAUAUUUUUAGGACAAUCAGACAUGUUCUGCAAAUCGGUGCGAUUUGCAAAGUAUUGUUGUGUAUUUGUAAUCAAAGUAUUAAAUUUUUCAAAUGGAAACUGCUAGAAACACAUCAUUUACGUUAUAUCCAUCGAUUUCAUGCCAAAUUUUUACCUCUUUGUUAUAAAUCUUCCGAAAUAGAUUUUAUAAAUCGCACCGAUUUGAAAUCGUACGAUUUGCAGAACACGCCCGAAUACAUUUUUUUCCAACUAACUCAAUGUGUG